AACCUGCCAAGUGUCAAAAGUUUUUACACUAUUGCAUUAUUAAUUAUAUUUAUAUCAGCAAAUUUAGACUUUUUAUGUAGGGUUUAAUAACAAAUUGCAGCCAGUGUUGUAAAGUGUUGAUCGAUCUUGACUACAAGAUCCAUACCACCAAUGUGUUUUGAAUUUAAGCUUUUUAUGCAGAGCUUAUACAAAUAAAAGGAACCACAGGCUUGGAGGUUAUUCGUUAACAAAUUGCAGCAACUGUUGGAAAAUGUUUAUCCAUUUUCAUUACAAGGUAAAAAAAAAAUUGCAGGUAUACAUAAUUAUUUAUAA